CUUAUCAAGGUGUUCAGGUUAACUUGAAAAUAACUAGCAGGUGUUUUGGAACAGGGUUGGAACUGAAGUCUGCAAGAGGAGAACCAGAAGCAGGGUUGCCUAUACCCGUUUUUGUCAUGUGUUCGGAACAUGGCAUCUGGAUCUGGACACUUCUGUUAUAGCUGAGGACCUGUUGCUGGAUCCCGACACUCAUACUCCAUGUUGUGAGUGCAUGGCUUCCUUUCCGUUAACUUGUUUGUCACCUUUUUUUUCAGUUUGAGCACAUGGCUUAUUCGUUUUUCUUUGCCAUGUGCACUUCUGUCUUGUCUCGGUGUUGGUUUGAGCACGUGGUUUUUGUUUAUGUCACAGUUUGUUCCACAGUGCAUUUGAACCCCACUCCCUCUCCCUUGCUGACCUGUUAUCUGUUUAGUUACUUCACCUGUCUGCUUCAUUUGACUCUCGAUUUCUGCUUCUGUUCGACCUGUCUGUGUGGAUCUUGUGCCAGUUCAUUUUGGCUGUUACACUUGUCAGAGUGUUUUUUUCCUGUGUCUCUUCUCUGGCUCCUGAUCAUCUGUGCAAGUCCUGGGACUGAGGUCUGCUCUUCGGAGAGCUUUUUGUUUGUUUAAUAGAUGCAAUCCAAUAUAUUUGAUAGAUUUGGCCAAUGAUUUUUAAGCCAAGUCUUGUACACAUAAACAUUUUUACAUAUUGACUAAGAACACUGUCAGAUGUGGUAUAGGAGAGAAAGCACUCAGAUGCAGAGUUAAAUGAACAGUUUAUUUAGGUCAACCAUAAACUUUAAGCAAUUUAAUGCAUUAAAGAAAUAUACAUAUUACCCUUUGGUGGUCUAGAGUUUGGGGUAGAGCUAAUGAAUCUCUGAGGAGUUUGAAAAAAUAGUUUUAUCAGAACAUUAGAAUGGUGGUUAAAUUAUGUAUUGAUUUAAACAUAAAAAAUAAAUAUAUAUUUAGGAUUUUGACCAAAAAAGUUUCAACAUCACCAAUCAUAGAGUUACAGGAUUUUCAGUUUUAAUGCCACCAUAGGUAAAAUUACGAUGCAGCUUGGUGUACAUUCUCAGAAAGUUCUGUGGUCUGUGUGUAUCAAGUUUUAUUAAGUAUUGGGUUUAGAAGAUACAGAUUAAUUUGUAAAAAAAAAGAAGAAAAAAAAAGAUAUCAAAUAAAGAUGCUAUUCGCAAAAAUUUGGUGAUAACCAAACCAAUGGCCUAGUAGCCAUUUGAAAAAGACACUUUUCCAGAAAAUUUUAAAGCAAGGGAAGGCUAUACUAAGCAUGUUUGAACAGAUUACUUUCACCCAACCAGACAUGAGACUCGAGUUCCUCUCACAUGCAUAAACAUGAAACUUGUAAUAUGGCCUUUAGUGGGAGGCAUGCGUGAACAACUGCACCAACUGGCGCACACUUUAAAUAAAUAAAUAAAAGUAUCUACAAAAAGCUGGAAUGCGACGGUCUCCUAUGACAUCUAAGAUCCAUGGUACAGUGUUCACUAAAUCAUAAUAGAAACCUCUAUUAGUUAAAUAAACAGAAAACUGUAUCCAUUCCCUAAUGAGGUAUACAACUUCCUAUCCAGCUAUCCAACAGAACACAACACUGCAUCCCACAAUGCAAUGCACUCAACUUCACCUCUCAUUUUCAGUGACAAAUGACACAGCAUUCAGUUCUGAAGUAAAACGGGAUUAAAAUGGUAAAUAAUCGUAUGUAUUUUUGUGAUAUCUGGCACUUACUGAAUUAAAAUGUUUGAAAUGGUU
ensembl:lncRNA